UGGGGAAUUUUGGACAAUGGGCGCAAGCCUGAUCCAGCAAUGCCGCGUGCAGGAUGAAGGCCUUCGGGUUGUAAACUGCUUUUGUACGGAGCGAAAAGGUCUGCUCUAAUACAGAGACUUAAUGACGGUACCUGAAGAAUAAGCACCGGCUAACUACGUGCCAGCGGCCGCGGUAAUACGUAGGGUGCGAGCGUUAAUCGGAAUUACUGGGCGUAAAGCGUGCGCAGGCGGUUAUAUAAGACAGAUGUGAAAUCCCCGGGCUCAACCUGGGACCUGCAUUUGUGACUGUAUAGCUAGAGUACGGUAGAGGGGGAUGGAAUUCCGCGUGUAGCAGUGAAAUGCGUAGAUAUGCGGAGGAACACCGAUGGCGAAGGCAAUCCCCUGGACCUGUACUGACGCUCAUGCACGAAAGCGUGGGGAGCAAACA
rnacentral:rRNA from 1 species